GGCCAGACUCCUACGGGAGGCAGCAGUGGGGAAUAUUGCACAAUGGGGGAAACCCUGAUGCAGCGACGCCGCGUGAGUGAAGAAGUAUUUCGGUAUGUAAAGCUCUAUCAGCAGGAAAGAAAAUGACGGUACCUGACUAAGAAGCCCCGGCUAACUACGUGCCAGCAGCCGCGGUAAUACGUAGGGGGCAAGCGUUAUCCGGAUUUACUGGGUGUAAAGGGGGCGCAGACGGCGAUGCAAGCCAGGAGUGAAAGCCCGGGGCCCAACCCCGGGACUGCUCUUGGAACUGCGUGGCUAGAGUGCAGGAGGGGCAGGCGGAAUUCCUGGUGUAGCGGUGAAAUGCGUAGAUAUCAGGAGGAACACCGGUGGCGAAGGCGGCCUGCGGGACUGCAACUGACGUUGAGGCCCGAAAGCGUGGGGAGCAAACAGGAUUAGAUACCCGUA
rnacentral:rRNA from 1 species